AUUGAACGCUGGCGGCAUGCUUUACACAUGCAAGUCGAACGGUAACAGGCCUUCGGGUGCUGACGAGUGGCGAACGGGUGAGUAAUGCAUCGGAACGUGCCCAGAGGUGGGGGAUAACGCAGCGAAAGCUGUGCUAAUACCGCAUGUGAUCUGAGGAUGAAAGCGGGGGACCAGGCAGCAAUGUUUGGCCUCGCGCCUUUGGAGCGGCCGAUGUCAGAUUAGGUAGUUGGUGGGGUAAAGGCCUACCAAGCCGACGAUCUGUAGCUGGUCUGAGAGGACGACCAGCCACACUGGGACUGAGACACGGCCCAGACUCCUACGGGAGGCAGCAGUGGGGAAUUUUGGACAAUGGGCGCAAGCCUGAUCCAGCAAUGCCGCGUGCGGGAAGAAGGCCUUCGGGUUGUAAACCGCUUUUGUACGGAACGAAAAGGCUCUGGCUAGUACCUGGGGCUGAUGACGGUACCGUAAGAAUAAGCACCGGCUAACUACGUG
rnacentral:rRNA from 1 species